CGGGGUGUCUAACCCAAUGUUACGGUGUGUUUGACCAUAACUUAAUUUUACGCUGGAAUAUUCCUUUAACAUGAGCAUCAAAUAUGUUGACUUUGCUCUAUUUUCAGAGUUUAAAUGAUUCAUGAACCAUCAGUUUCCUUCUGCAGACUUGUGGCUGUAGAAAUUUACUCUCUUGCUCACAGUAAAGGAACACUCUGGUUUCGAUUUCUAGCCGUUUGUUAUUUCGCUUCUUAUGAUAAUUUCUAUUUUUGAUAACGAAAAACGCGUCCUCAGAUGUCCGGUAAACCCUUACAUGGUUAUUUUGUUAGAUGCCUCCUUGUGUCUAUGCAUCACUGCUAGGAUAUCCUGAAAUAUGACACCCUUGUUCUCAUGUCGGUGAAUGAAGGAAUUGUUUUUUUCUUUCCAUUCCUUUGCAUGAAUCAGGGAUGGUAGAAUGCACUUUGGGUAAGGCUGGGAUGACGAGAAGUCUUUGGGGAAAUAACAGCGAGUUUAGUUCACAUAAAAAAAAGUCCACUCAGCACCGUGACAUGUAAUCCCCACAGCCCCUGCACCGCGCACAGCUGUCUUAACCAGCGAGAGUCGUUCUGAAUCCCAUUAGACGGCAGCUUCACCGCAGAGAGCUCGAGUAAUAAAAAUGGAAUUCUGUACUUUUCAUAUCAGCUCUCCAGAUCUGCAUGCAAAGGAGCAGUUUUAUGCUCCAGGUUGCGUACAUUUGCAUAUACAUGUGUGUGUUCAAGAGCUGACACACACACACACACACUCCAUGCAUUCACAUGCACAGUGUGACAACACCUCUUGAAGUGAAUGAACCCUGAAGGGCCGCUGAGAUUUUUCCUUCAGACACAGAAGAUUUGUGGGUUUUGUCUGAAGUGAAGGUUCUUCAGGUCUUUGAGAUCCAGAUUCAGAUGCUCUUUCCCCUUAACGUGCACAUUACACACACACACAUACACACACAUGAUCAUGAUGAAUAAACAAGAAUAACACAAUGGAUCGCUAAUGUAAAGUAGCCAUCGUGAAACUCCGAAAUUUGAAAUUGCAAGAUUAAGUUAAUUCCUGAUUUGCAAUGUGAGCGAAUCAGCAGGUGGAAGAAAACAGGCUGAUGUAAGGGACAGUUUUAGCUAGCUAGCUUGUUUAUCCUCUUUUUAGGUUUUUAUAUUGCUGUUUGUUUUUAAAGAAAAUAAGGAGAAAGUUACUGCAAAGUUGUCAAACUGGCUCUAAACUGAGUGUUACCCCCAAUUUCCACCACAUCCAGAAUGGCUACGAAAAGGUUGUAUCCGCCGAUCGCAGCUGAUCGUAACCAUUCAAGUAAAUGUGUCAAUUUCCACCGGCUUCUUUCCGUUCCACUGUGGAUCGCCGGACUCCACAGCUGAUUGCAAGGGUUCUAUUUUUUCUGUUCGCCGUAGACACCGGAUAAAUUCAGCACAGAUUAACUCGUGCUGGAAAGGAAGUCAGGCACAGACACAAAAUAAAACAUCUGGCUUCAAUGUUUCAGGCAGAUCGUAUUUCGAACAAUGCAAGCAGAUGGAGAUGAACAAGUGAAAGGUUUUUCGACAGCAUUUCACCACCGAUGACUCCAUGGAUGAGGAGAUGCUGAUUCUUGAAGUCUAGAAGUAGAUUUCCUCCUCUGGAAGGACACAAUCUACUGCUUAUAUGGUUAGCCUAUGUGGCUAAGAGACAACUUGUUAUCGCGUGAGUUCUUGCCAUUACCGCUGUCCAUAAUCCACCACAAAAUUCAUCUCAUAAACGGAUCCGUUAGGAAUUGGCAUACGGCGAAAAUUGCUGCCGUUCUGGAUGCAGUGGAAAUCCCGGGUUAGUGUUAGUCCAGGCAGGCCACAAAGUCAAGCUCAGCCCAGAGUACAUCAACGCCAGCACAUGUCAGCUGACAGUCUUUGCUGCUGCUCUCCCUGCAUACCACCAAAAAGUACUCGCUGCAUUCAACUACAGAACUUUCUUUGACAGGAGUGGUCCUGACUGAAUGUCAGCGCUUAUUGACUGACAUUAUUACCAGCCCCAUAGUCUCCAAAACUUCCCCCUGAACCACUCACUGCGCCUAAACUCAAGCAUCAGUUUCCCUUUUGUCUUCAUGUCAGAUUCAGAUUCUUGUCUCUGCUGUCAACAGGCUGGAAAAUGAUGAACAUUAAUAACGCUGUAAUGCUAAUUGGCAUAAAAUCCCACCAGUUGAGACAUGAGAUUUCUGUCACGGCGUGCUAAUCAUGUUUCGCUCCGGAACAUUUUGAAAAGAAAACUGUUUUAAUGGCCUUUGUUGUGCAAAUGAGAACAUUUCGGUAAAAUGUGAAUGUCAUCCGGAGCACAUAAGCCUGUUUUCUGCACCAACCUGCUUCACGGUGAUAUCAGCGCAUGUUCACUCUGCUGUCGGCCUCUGAGCAGAUCCCCUGCAUGAAUCAGGGGUAAGUGCCUUGCUCAGGGGCACGUCAGCGGCAGUCCAACCUGACACAGAAAUUAACAUAUCCUAACGUUUCACUGAUGGCUACCUUAAAAGCUUUACAUCUCUUAAUCUUACUGACAUGUCACUUCAAAGCUAUGCAACAUGUGAUUCUUGGAGCUGUAAACAGGCGGAUCCUGAUGGACUGGAACUAUUCCUUGUUAUAUAGUGUCAAUAUGAAACGCAGGGUUCGGCUAAUUAUUGAGUAUAUAUCUAUUUAAGAGGUUUAUUUGCUUAUGUAUAUAAGAUAUCAGCUAUUUAUACCCCCCCUUCUACAGAUGUCACCUAAAUGAACCAAAUGAUGGCGAGUCAAAACUUACCGUUCCUCCCCAGAUUCAGAGUCGUGGUUAAUUUGAUGAGUUUUACGUUGGCGCCACCAUCAAAUCCGACGAUUGAGUCCUAGCCCUCUUACACUUAAAUGUAGGGAUGUACCCAUACAACUUAUUUACUUCCAAUACAAUACAGAUAUUGUAGCCUCUAGUCUUGGCCGAUAUUGAUAUUGAUCCAAUAUUGGUGCAGAAUCGUGUAUGACAGGUUUGGCUUUUGGCUGGAACAUCUUUUUUGGACUUAAACAUAAAAUACUGCACGCUACAUCCAGGCGCUGCCAGAGUGGAGUCUGGGAUGGACCGCUUGUAUCAGAGUGCUGAUAUUAAAAAUUUCUGAUGCAGGCCGAUAAAAUCCGAUAUUCAUCAUUUUGCGUAUAUCAAUAUCCGAUCAGGACAUCCCGAUUUAAAUGCUAACUUUUGCAUGCUGAAUGCUUCAACAUACAAGCUCAUCGUCUGAAUUCAAGGUUAGUGUUUGACUAUUAACCUGUUAGCGCUGCUUCAACGAGGGUUAACUGAUCUCAUCAUAGGUUUUACUUUGCAGUACUGCCCUCUUUUUGGCGCCCCCUUCAGGUGAAAAUCAAAAACAUUCGAGCUUAAAUCGCAAAAUGAUCAAAUCAAAUUAAAAACAACAUAAACAAAACCUCUCUGAAUUUGGUCUCAAACUUUGCUGUUUUUUCAGAUUGUGUCUCAACACUAUAGUAUAAUACUUUUCAGGCACAUGUGCAUUUAAAGCUUAAUAAGAUGGAAUGGAAACAAUUAUAAUUAAAAACUUUAACUCUCCAAAUUAAAAGCAGGAUCACAAAGAGAAGUCUCUAAUAGCCUUUGAGGAUAGCUCUGCUAAUGUGAUAUCAAGAGGCUGCGAGUUUCAUUACUUUGAAGCAUACAAACAGACGGUUCUGCUGUUAUCAGCCUGAUUACUGUUUGACUCGUCAACACCAUUAACUCUCAGACCCUUCAGAGGGCACUCAGCCCUCAGGAGUGGGCGUGUUGGCGUCCUCAAAGUACUUGUUGAACCAAAAUGCUGUUCGGUGCCGGUGGGCUUUUUGAUCAGUUUGGACCCGGUCUAAUUAUCCCGGGGUCCUAUCAGAAGCACAUUAGGUUAAGAUGUAUAGCAUAGGUCAGUUUUUAAUUGGAUCCCUAUUGUUUGACCCGUGGAGGCCUCUUCUCUCCAGCCAAGUUUGGUGACUCUGCUUUAAUGAGUCCGGUUUCCUGUGGUUAAUGAAAACAAGUCUGCAUAUCUUGAAAUGAGUCAUCAUGGAAUCAUUACACGUGUAUCAGUCGAGUCUGGUAGAAACUUUGAAAAAGAUUUAACUUGAAUAUGUCAGAAAGAGAAAGUCGUUUUGUACUCUUGGACUCUGAUGUUGAAAAGCUCAAAUGCUUUUAUGAAGUUGGACGAUGGAUAUUGGUUUGCAGGCUCCUGAUGGCGAGUUUAAAUUCAUUUAUUUUUUUAGAAAUUUGACCAAAUUUUCACAUUUUAUUGUUUUUUAGUCGCUAAUUAAUUUUGGGCUGCUUUCUGUGUUAUGAAAUCGGUAAUAAUACGGCCUGACAUCUGUCAGCUGAGCCGUACUGCAUGCAGCCGCUGCUCAUAUCUCUGAAUCUGCAGAUGGAAGCAUUUGAAGUAUUGUUCUCAUUUUAACAGGGUUUUUGUAGUUUGACCAAGUGGGCACCGCUCACUGAGUUUUUGCUCUCAUUUGGCGGCAGACUCUUUUCUCUCAGAGAUGUGAAAAGCUUUUAGGGGAGCCAGGAAAUCACUUACCGACAGAGCUGGAGGAAUACCGGGUCCAAUUACUAAAUAUCCUCCAGAACGUACCAAACUUCAGAGUUUUAUUGUCCUUUUCCUGACUCUGAGAAGAGUCUGAGGCGUUUUUUUUUCCCUCUCAGUUUGAUUCUUACUGACAGUGGUGUGUGGAGAAGACAGCUGUCAGUGAGAUCAUAUCACGAUGAAGCGGAUGAUAAGAUGACAAAAACAAAAGCAAUAAUACAGGAUGAGAAGCGACAGAGAGAAACUGCUUUACUCUUCGGUAUCUGCGAUUUUUAAACUCUUUACAGACCCAAGAUUGAAAACGUAGGUCACAUUAUUUAAGGAAAGUAUCAGGCUUAAACUAAAACGAAACUCAGUAUUUUAAUCAAAGUAUAAAAUAAAUCGCAUCGUCCCUCUAACAAGUUGACAGAAUCAUCCUGGAAUGAGCUGCAUGUGUCCGUGAAGUCUGUCCCUUAGAGCACCGAGCAAUAAGUGAUCUUUUUCUUUUUACUGAUUCAGAGAAAUAAUAUCUAACAUGUCUCACAAAGAUGUCUGAAUAUCACACACAGAUGUCUGAUAACUUCGAUAAAGUCGCUUUGAAAUUAUUUAUAUCAGGAAUUUCUAGUUUUCUGAAAGAGUUUAUGAAUCAUCUCGACAAAAGUUAGACAUUGUAUUUUCUUAUCAUCAGUUAAAGUCUUUUAAUGACCCUGAAUCAAUUACUGUAACAUCUAGAAUAGAGGUUGCCACAUUAUUUAAGUUGAUAAAUGAGUCGUGGUUUUUUCGGUAUCAGCUGUUCAAAAGCAGCGCCAGUGUCUGCUAUCCAGUGAGGCAGAAGCUAAAUACCGUAAAUUCCAGAGCGCAAUAAGAUACCUCUCCACAUUUUUUCAGUCAAAGCAGCAAACAAAAUCAUUUCAAUCUUGUAAUUUUGUUGUAGUAAAUUUAUGAUGGUUUUUUUAGACUCUUUGGCGUGGACACAGAACAGCAACAUAGAAGUUAUCCCAGCUUUGUUUUCCUCGUCUAUUUCAGCUCGAUUAGUAAUGUCUUCUUCUUAAACGGCUUUUAAAUUUUUGACUAGUCACAAAUCUCUGUACCCAAGUGUCUUCCAAUCAUCGAAUUCGUCCCCCUGAUUGACUUCCCUCUCUAGAGUUUCAGUUUACCUGUCCUUUAGUUCAGAGAUGUACCAGCAGUGCGCCCAUGAAAAACAUGUUUAACCUUUUUUGGAUUGAUGCUCUGAUUGGCCGGCUGUACAACCAACCAGAGCGUCUGUUUUAGGUGAGGUAGAUGAUCAUAUUUCAAGAUAAAACGCUAAAGGACAGAAUAUGAAAAAAUGAGAGUUAAACUUUUUUAUAUUUUCCCUGUAAAGUCAGUAAAUGAAACUUAAGAAGCUCUUAAAUGUGAUUUUUAGACUCGCUCUCCGUCCGCUUAAAGAAGAUCCGGUGCGUUUGUAAAACUUGGGGAGUAGUUUGAGUUCUGGAAACUCUUCAGAAAGGCGAACUUAGAGAUAAAGUGCUGAGUGAUAUUACCUUUCAAAAGUCCACAGUUUUACAUUUGCAAUACGGUGUCUAUUUUCAAAUGUAGGAAAGUGAUCCCUCAGCAGUUCAGGGACACGGCGAGGUUCAGGACGAGGGCGCUCCUGUCAUAUCCUCGACCGUGUGCGGCCCGUUUCAGAGUUUCUCUGUCAGCCUGAAACUUUGUCAGGGUGUGCUCCUCCUUUUUUUUUUUUUAUUUGACAUAAGAAUGAAGGGCGAGUCAUGAGGUCUGAGCCCUACACACACACACACACACAGACACACACACUUUUUCAGCACAGGAUUUUUCAGCUUUGCCACUUGAAUGUACGACACCCGUUCCUUCCAGCCCCGAACCCAUCUUUGCUGUGCCAGAUUUUUCACUGGGAGCAGAGACUUUUUAUUCAUUUUCAUCCUUUUUUUGUUUUUUUGUUUGUUUUUUUGAUUCGGGGAAGAUUUCUCCUCCCUGACCUCUCCCUCUUCUUCAUCUUCUAACUAGUAGGAGGUCCAUUUCUAUCCCGCCUCUCUUUGAAAAACAAAUCUCCUCUCCUUCUGCAUCUCUGAUUUCCUCCUCUAGGGUCUCCCUUAUUCUUUGCACCUCCAACCUUCAAUUCUCCUUUUGAUCCCCUCUUCUAUAUCUUCAUCUAGCUCUUCCCGGCAUGCUGAUGAUGUACGGUCGGUCUGCUUCAUGCCGACUGACUGACACACCACAGAUCCACGUCUCUGGGGACACGCUGGCACGACCGAGGGGCCUCAUUUAUCAGAAUUAUCCUCUGGCUUGAUUUGAUUCUGCAUAUUGAAACCACAACGACACUCAAAGAAAUGACGGUCAUUUCCAAUAUGGGGUUUUUUUUUUAUCGUUUUAUUGCAGCGAAUCCGCAGACUUCUUCUCCCUUAGAUUAAUUUUGCAUCAAUCUCAGACUCCGUCGUAAAACUCUGGAUGAUUUUAAUAAACGAGGCCCUUCAGGAAAAGUCUUUCUGUCCUUCUUUUCUACUGGAAUGUGAUCAAUUUCUACUGUUUUGUUAAAGCAAUGUUAGGGAGCAGCACUGAAAUCCCACACUGACUCAUGUAUUGUUUUACAGCUGCACCUAAACUGUAGUGUGAGAAUAAUAAACAGCCGUCUGG